AUGCAGAAACGCGGACCUGAUGUGUGCAACACCUGCAACCCAUCUGAAGUUGAGCAUAAGCUGUCUAACUUCGAUAUCCAGAACAUUGAAGGUGAUGAUAUCUGGAAACCUGCGGAGGUGCACCAUGGGCAUUAGUCAUCAACAGCGAUGGUGGAAAUAUGGACAGUAGUUGAUCAAAGAUGUGAUGAUCAUAGACGACUUUUAAUCUCUGGCCCAAGCUUGAAAAUCUGAUGCGUGGAGAAAUCUAUGAGCUCCUCUGAAGGAACUGAUGCUCGACUAUGGAUGCCCAGAUAAAAUUAGGACUUUUUAAACAGCUUUUCUCCAUCAAAGGUGUUUGGACUGAAGAACAAAAUCAGUGUUGGUAUGGAAGAAUUUUGGAGCCACACUUAAAAAAAUACCAGCAAGCUGCUUCAGUGUUUCAAAUUGAGCUCAAGAGGACGCUGUAAGCAGACAAGCAUGAUGAGAUGUUACUGUAGUAUGACUGUGAGUGACAUACAACCAUAGGCCAUGAUAUAUUAACCAGCGUUAACUGAGGGGCUGUUUACAUGGUACAGAUCAGUUAUUGCUCAUGAUUGGUCCUGUGAUAUUUCAACUGUAGGUUUUUAUUUUUUUCAAUGAUGAAUGUUACAGGUCUGUUGCAUGUGCAUAAAGAUACUUGGAGUUAAAAGAUGACAAACAGCUCAGUUAUUAUUCAGUUACUCCACUGCAGGGAUCACCGGCUCUGGUCCUCAGGGGUCAGGGUCCUGCAGGUUUUCAAUGUUUCCCUGUUACAAAACACCUGAUUCAGACUAAUGGAUCAUUAGGAGGUGUGUGUAGAACUUGACAACAAGGUUUCUGUGAAUAACUUGUGGAAACAGUUGGUACUUUAAGCGUGACAGUUUUGAUACUUUGUAUUUUACAGAUGUUUCUUUUAUAACUUAUUAGAAACUUAGAAACUUUUCUCAGUGGCUCUGUAACAGCGAUAAAUGGUAUUAAAUCAUUUAAAAAGCA